rnacentral:rRNA from 1 species
UACGAAGGGGGCUAGCGUUGCUCGGAAUGACUGGGCGUAAAGGGCGCGUAGGCGGCUCAUACAGUCAGAUGUGAAAUUCCUGGGCUUAACCUGGGGCUGCAUUUGAUACGUGUGGGCUUGAGUGGGGAAGAGGGUCGUGGAAUUCCCAGUGGUAGAGGUGAAAUUCGUAGAUAUUGGGAGAACACAGUGGCGAAGGCGGUGUUCUGGGCCUGUACUGACGCUGAUGCGCGAAAGCGUGGGGAGCAACAGGG